rnacentral:rRNA from 1 species
ACGUAGGGUGCAGGCGUUAAUCGGAAUUACUGGGCGUAAAGGGUGCGCAGGCGGUUUGUUAAGACAGGUGUGAGAUCCCCGGGCUUAACCUGGGAAUUGCGCUUGUAACUGGCAGGCUAGAGUGUGGCAGAGGGGGGUGGAAUUCCACGUGUAGCAGUGAAAUGCGUAGAUAUGUGGAGGAACACCGAUGGCGAAGGCAGCCCCCUGGGUUAACACUGACGCUCAUGCACGAAAGCGUGGGGAGCAAACAGGAUUAGAUACCCUGGUAGUCCACGCCCUAAACGAUGUCAACUAGUUGUCGGGGAAGCAAUUCCUUGGUAACGAAGCUAACGCGUGAAGUUGACCGCCUGGGGAGUACGGCCGCAAGGUUA